rnacentral:misc_RNA from 1 species
GAUGAAGAACGCAGCGAAAUGCGAUAAGUAAUGUGAAUUGCAGAAUUCAGUGAAUCAUCGAAUCUUUGAACGCACAUUGCGCCCGCCAGUAUUCUGGCGGGCAUGCCUGUUCGAGCGUCAUUGCUGCCCUCAAGCACGGCUUGUGUGUUGGGCCUCCGUCCUCCUCCCGGGGGACGGGCCCGAAAGGCAGCGGCGGCACCGCGUCCGGUCCUCGAGCGUAUGGGGCUUCGUCACCCGCUCUUGUAGGCCCGGCCGGCGCUUGCCGACACAUCAAUCUUUUUUCCAGGUUGACCUCGGAUCAGGUAGGGAUACCCGCUGAACUUAAGCAUAUCAAUAAGCGGAGGA